CCCUGGAGAACCUGGAUAAUUCUAUAGAGAACCCCUAAACUUCAGAUGGCCAAGAGUUUCACUACAUGAACUUUUCUUAUGGGAUCCAUUGCAGAAGAAAAUACAGGUCCAGUCCCUCUUUGCCAGUGUCCACCGCUGGCACAGCGACUUGGGGAGCCAGUGUCUACACCAGUAGUGCUCAUCCUGGGAGUGGCCAAAGCCAAGAAACUUUAAUUCCAAAAAUGGUUGGAAUGUAAAACACAAAGGACCCCAGUGACCUGCAGGAAGUAAAUGAGGAACUGACCUCUGGGUGAUUUUUAUUCUAUGAUCAGG